UACGUAGGUCCCGAGCGUUGUCCGGAUUUAUUGGGCGUAAAGCGAGCGCACGUGGUUUAUUAAGUCUGGUGUAAAAGGUAGUGGCUCAACCAUUGUAUGCAUUGGAAACUGGUAGACUUGAGUGCAGGAGAGGAGAGUGGAAUUCCAUGUGUAGCGGUGAAAUGCGUAGAUAUAUGGAGGAACACCGGUGGCGAAAGCGGCUCUCUGGCCUGUAACUGACACUGAGGCUCGAAAGCGUGGGGAGCAAACAGG
rnacentral:rRNA from 1 species